GACGAACGCUGGCGGCGUGCUUAACACAUGCAAGUCGAACGGAAAGGCCCUGCUUUUGUGGGGUGCUCGAUUGGCGAACGGGUGAGUAACACGUGAGUAACCUGCCCUUGACUUUGGGAUAACUUCAGGAAACUGGGGCUAAUACCGGAUAGGAGCUCCUGCUGCAUGGUGGGGGUUGGAAAGUUUCGGCGGUUGGGGAUGGACGCGCGGCUUAUCAGCUUGUUGGUGGGGUAGUGGCUUACCAAGGCUUUGACGGGUAGCCGGCCUGAGAGGGUGACCGGCCACAUUGGGACUGAGAUACGGCCCAGACUCCUACGGGAGGCAGCAGUGGGGAAUAUUGCCCAAUGGGCGGAAGCCUGAUGCAGCAACGCUGCGUGCGGGAUGACGGCCUUCGGGUUGUAAACCGCUUUCGCCUGUGACGAAGCGUGAGUGACGGUAAUGGGUAAAGAAGCACCGGCUAACUACGUG
rnacentral:rRNA from 1 species